rnacentral:rRNA from 1 species
GACGUAGGAGGCGAGCGUUUGUCCGGAUUCAUUGGGCGUAAAGAGCGCGCAGGCGGCUUGGUAAGUCGGAUGUGAAAUCCCGAGGCUCAACCUCGGGUCUGCAUCCGAUACUGCCCGGCUAGAGGUAGGUAGGGGAGAUCGGAAUUCCUGGUGUAGCGGUGAAAUGCGCAGAUAUCAGGAGGAACACCGAUGGCGAAGGCAGGUCUCUGGGCAUUAACUGACGCUGGAGGAGCGAAAAGCAUGGGGAGCGAACAGG